UACAGAGGUCCCGAGCGUUGUUCGGAUUCAUUGGGCGUAAAGGGUGCGUAGGCGGUUUCCUAAGUUUGAUGUGAAAUCCCGGGGCUUAACCCUGGAAUUGCAUUGAAUACUGGGAGACUAGAGUACUGGAGAGGAAACUGGAAUUUACGGUGGUAGCAGGUGAAAUGCGUAGAGAUCGUAAGGAAGACCAGUGGACGAAGGCGAGUUUCUGGACAGU
rnacentral:rRNA from 1 species